UACGAAGGGUGCAAACGUUGCUCGGAAUUAUUGGGCGUAAAGCGCACGUAGGCGGCUAUCUAAGUCGGAUGUGAAAUCCCUCGGCUUAACCAAGGAAGUGCACCCGAAACUGGAUAGCUUGAGUACAGAAGAGGACCGCGGAAUUCCCGGUGUAGAGGUGAAAUUCGUAGUUAUCGGGAGGAACACCAGUGGCGAAGGCGGCGAUCUGGGCUGAUACUGACGCUGAGGUGCGAAAGCGUGGGGAGCAAACAGG
rnacentral:rRNA from 1 species